rnacentral:other from 1 species
AUUUCCCUGGGGAGUGCGUGAUUGCCCUAUGGCUUUUGAACCAAUAUAAGAAAGUAAGGGAGCAAGCAUCAUCGGAGUGGUGAGCAAGCCCGGUUUAGCCGGGAAGCCUAAAACUCCGUGGCAGCGCCCACCUGUUAGACCCGGUUCUAACGUAUAAGGCAACACGGCAUCUCCGGGGUCCCU